rnacentral:rRNA from 1 species
UACGUAGGGUGCAAGCGUUAAUCGGAAUUACUGGGCGUAAAGCGUGCGCAGGCGGUUAUGUAAGACAGAUGUGAAAUCCCCGGGCUUAACCUGGGAACUGCAUUUGUGACUGGCAGGCUAGAGUAUGGCAGAGGGGGGGUAGAAUUCCACGUGUAGCAGUGAAAUGCGUAGAGAUGUGGAGGAAUACCGAUGGCGAAGGCAGCCCCCUGGGUUAACACUGACGCUCAGGCACGAAAGCGUGGGGAGCAAACAGG